CGUGCCUUCCACAAUAGAAGUGAAGAGUUGAAGCUUCAUUCAUUACCAUAAUAUCAAUACUAGUAUUUUCCAUUUCUCCCUUUCCCACCUACGAAGCAAUAAAAAGUAUUUAAAAAAAUUGAGAUCUGUCACUUUUGGACUUUUUGGCCACUUUUUCUGGAUCUUUGGCUGUCAUCAGUCGGUCUCACUUUCACAUUUCUUUCAUCUGCUCAAACCGACAAGUUAAUUGUGUGAGGAGCAAUGGCGGACUGGGGCCCAGUGUUGAUAGCAGUGGUGCUGUUUGUGCUGUUAACUCCGGGCCUAUUAUUCCAGCUUCCCGGCCGUGGAAAAGUGAUUGAAUUUGGGAACAUGCAAACUAGCGGCGCUUCCAUUUUGGUCCAUACCAUUAUUUAUUUUGGCCUCAUCACUAUCUUCCUCCUUGCCAUUGGCGUCCAUGUCUACACCGGCUAAAUUAUUUUGCCUUCACUUGUUGGUUGCCAGCAGAAACAUUAGUACAAAGGUAUAGAAAUGUUGGUGCAUACAAUCUGUUACAGUCCUGCAUAUUGAACGUGAAUGCAUUAUCGGCCAGCAUCCCCAGUGAGUGCGUUGGUGGAGACAAUGUGUUUCAUACGGGUUGGGGUUGCUCCAACACACCGUGACAACCACCGUCGACCAGUGAUUCCAGCCACGGUUCAAUUCGUUUUCGCUUCCGCUUUACGAAGAACAAGUAAGUUAUCGUUUUACGAUUUACACGCUAUCUAAUGUGUUUAGGUUAACGUGUUCUUUCAUUGGUAUCAGAGCCAUAGGCUGGUUUUCCGGUCCGAAAAAUUGAUUGAAUAGUUCUAAUUCUUUUCUACGUGAAUCUGGAACUAUGUGUUUAUUUAUUUUGAACUUUCUGUGCAAUUGGAAGUGGUUAAUCCAUUCAACUUUUGAAUGACAUUUUUUUUCAAAUAGAAAUCAUCUAGAAUUGAAGAAAAUAUUCACGUAAGUUGAAUUUAGAUCUAUGAAUACUUUAUUAAUAUUCUGCAUGUAAUUGACGAUAAUUUCCUACACUGAUUUGAAACUACUGAGUUUUAAAACAGUCUACUUUUUUUGUGAUCUGAUAUUUUUUUGCCCAAUCAGUACUGAUUGAUUGUAUAAUUUAAAAAAAAAUGUUUUUUUUUGUGCUUAUCGAUCUGUAACCCCUAGUCGCCAUAAACAGCCGCCUCUAAACCACCGCGCCACUGCUAUGAGCACUGUCAAAGACUCAAAGAACGGUGCUGUUUUAUAAAUUAAAAAAAAAAAAGGGGGGGGGGAGGAAAGAAAAAGGAGAAACUAGAGUUUCUCUAUGAAAGCGGCAGAA